rnacentral:rRNA from 1 species
AUUGAACGCUGGCGGCAGGCCUAACACAUGCAAGUCGAGCGAGCGGCGGACGGGUGAGUAAUGUCUGGGAAACUGCCUGAUGGAGGGGGAUAACUACUGGAAACGGUAGCUAAUACCGCAUACCAUCAGAUGUUCCCAGAUGGGAUUAGCUAGUAGGUGGGGUAACGGCGCACCUAGGCGACGAUCCCUAGCUGGUCUGAGAGGAUGACCAGCAAGACGGGAACUGAGACACGGGCCAUAGUCCUACGGGAGUCAGCAGUGGGGAAGAUUGCACCAUGGGCGCAAGCCUGAUGCAGCCAUGCGGCGUGGGUGAAGAAGGCCUUCGGGUUGUAAAGCACUUUCAGGGGGGAGGCGUUACCCGCAGAAGAAGCACCGGCUAACUCCGUGCCAGCAGCCGCGGUAAUUC